AAGGAUUUCACCUGUCUGAGACCAGAUUUCAUGUUAAUUACUGAGUUGAGAUUCUGUACUAGCUGGCACUGUAAAUCUGAUUGUCACUCUGUGCCUGUGACAGGCUGGAGACUUGCUUCUUUUUCCACUCCUCACUGAGCCCUGGCUAGAGCAAGCUUCUUGCAGCAUGCCUGGUUGGUCCUGGUGGUUUUCCUAUGAGAGUAUUUUCACAGAGUGAAUAACCAUCUAGGGUUCGGUACUAGCCUCCAGUUCAAGCACCAUGCCUGUGAAAGUCCAAGUUGAAGAAUCAUUUGAAAGUGUGCUGAAGAGAAAUCACCUUAAGCUUUUGUGAAAUCCACUGUCAUGAAAGGAACAAUGGACAAGACUCAUGGCAGUGGCAGCCAAAGCCUCAACCAAAGGCUCUUGAAAGAAGAAACAUAUUCAAAGCCAUUAGUCUGUGGUUGCGUGUGUGUUUGGGUCUCCAACUCGCAUUCACUCCAUCCUGAUAAGUUUCUGUUUCUGAGAGGGAUCAACCUGUUGCUGAAAGAUUUAUCAUCAGGGAAC